rnacentral:misc_RNA from 1 species
GAUGAAGAACGUAGCGAAAUGCGAUAAGUAAUGUGAAUUGCAGAAUUCAGUGAAUCAUCGAAUCUUUGAACGCACAUUGCGCCCGCCAGUAUUCUGGCGGGCAUGCCUGUCUGAGCGUCAUUUCAACCCUCAUGCCCCUAGGGCGUGGUGUUGGGGAUCGGCCAAAGCCCGCGAGGGACGGCCGGCCCCUAAAUCUAGUGGCGGACCCGUCGUGGCCUCCUCUGCGAAGUAGUGAUAUUCCGCAUCGGACAGCGAUGAGCCCCUGCCGUUAAACCCCCAACUUUCCAAGGUUGACCUCAGAUCAGGUAGGAAUACCCGCUGAACUUAAGCAUAUCAAUAAGCGGAGGA